GUGGUGGUUUCCCUUUAAAGGAGGUGUUUUUGUAUGGUUCAGGGCGCAUCGGAUGUAAUGCUUCUGGCCGAAUUGGCCUCGGCUGUUUCGGAGUGCUAAGGUGCAGCUGAUACCUUGCUUCGUGUUUGUCAUUUGGUAAUCUUCGUGGUUCCUCUCUUCUUAUGUUCAGCAUUGUGCAUGUCUGUGUUUCUUUUUCCUUUCCUUGUUUUUAAUGUGAAGAAUUUGAGUUCUUAGUGCUGGAAUUAGUGUUGCUUAGGCUUUAAAUAUAUUUUUGUGCAUGAAUGGGGCGCACUGUAGAGGACUAUGAGGGGUUCUUUCUAGUGUGAUGCGUUUCCAAUUCAGGUUUGUAGUGCGAAAAAGGAAGAAACCAUCAAUCAGAGUCGGGCAGUGUGAAAAAUGUUCAGAUGGCUUGGUGUAAACCCUCUUGAAAUAUUGGAGAGGCAAAAAGUGAGAAACAUGAGUAAGAGAAGGUGAUUGUUGACGUUGAACGGGAGGAAACUGGGUAGAUGAAUAUGAGCAGCCAGUUGUGUAAAGUGUAGGAUCUGGCCAGGAAGAAUAUGAAAUAAAUUUAGAAAGACAAGGGCCUCUUGGGCUCAGGUUCUAGAAAAAUGAGUUGUGAUACUGUACAUGAGGUUAAACAGGAAAUCUUAGUUAAGCAUUGUGGAAUUGGGAUGGUCUUUAUGUAUGUUGUAAUGGCAGUCAUAUGGUUAUGAACCGUUGAUCUGGGGGAGUUUUUCAAGUGCAUGGUUUUGUUUUGCUUUGAGAGGUCUCAAUGAUACUAACAUCAGAAAGAGUUCAAUGGAGACAAAUGGUUACAAAAUUGAAGGAUUAUAUGUUAAGUGCAUUGACCUUCAGUAAUAUUAUUGUACAUCUAAAAGGCUUCGCCAUUAAGCACGUAGUGCUGAGAUACUGCUUUAAAAGCUGGACCUGGCUUUGCCUUCAAGGAGGUGGUGGUACUACCCUCUGUUGUUGGAAGUAAAUUGGUUUUCUCUUAUCCAAGGUUUCCUUUGAAGACUUGAUAUUUUUAGACUCUUUUAAGGUGGAUUGAUAUAUGCGGGAGGAGGAUUGGCUGCUGAAUAGAAGAUUAGCAUAUGAAGUUGGAAUUCUUGCAAAGAAACUUCCAAUUUCAGAUGCCUUUUGCAAGAAGUUGGGAAUGUUGUGUUUUGAGGAGCCUCUCAUGUUUUGUUUUGAGGGACUAGAGGUCUCCUUUUAAAUUUGCAUAUAGUUGUAACCCUUGCUGCAACAUUUGCACAAAAAAGUACUUGAGAAGCAAGUGUGAAUUAGGAGGACAACAAUCAAGUCAGUGUAGUCUUUAUUAGUUGGCUCACAUGGAUUAGUUGGAUUCAUGAUUGGCUUGAUUGGGGGUAUCAUUACAUGUCAUAUGUCAUGGGUGUUAAAUGGAGGGGUGGAUGGAUUAUUGUUUAAAGGGCUUGGAAGAAGGGGGCAUUUGAUUGGUAGUUGUAGUUGAUAACAUUGGUUAAAUUGUAGGUAACAAAAUUUUAGGUCACUUAAGAAGGAGACACAUUAAACAAUAACCAGCACGAGGGGGGGGGGGGAGAUGUGCCAAAAGUCCGAGCCAACCACAAUUAUUUCAAGUUUGAGCUUACUCAUAAAAGCAUCUCAAUGUCACUUAGCGACAUCCACAUCCAAGCUCCUAAUGAGUUAAUGCUUAACAUUGCUAAGCAUGUGAUCUUAUGCCAUACCAACGUCACUAGAUCCUGAAGUGAUAACCACCAUCCUCGGGUAUGAUUAGCAAUUCAUCCAUCGAAAGAGAAGCCAAGGACGAUGACACAUUAGUAGGCUUUAUCGGAGUUGCAGCGGCCACCAUCGGGAAGCUAGCAUUCAUUCCUCAAGUGGAAGUACUAUCUGCCAAGGCUAAUGCUAAAGGAGGCCGCAAUGAGGAUCCGACAUGCGAUGAAGGGGCAAUGGGGGACACGGGGCAUGUUGGGUACCAUGGGGGUUCGUGUUGUACUACAUUUGGCUCAAGGACACCUACCUUAACUUUGACCUCAAGAAUACCAUGGCCAUCGUCCUUGAGGUGCACCGUAAGACAACAUGGUUGGAAAUGCCCAAGGAGAGAAGCCAUGCAUAACAAAGUUAAUGCCAUGUGUUAACUUCCUGCACUUUGGCAAGCAUAGCGACGAAGGGCAAUCCUCGGAGAACAAUCUCAAGCUAAAAUGCGAUGAAGCCAUGAUGAGCCUUCCAGCCAUUGCGGAGGCCACUAGAAGAGAUUGACCCUUCCCACCUGGAGGUAGCAGAGAAGUCCCAAAACAGUGGCAUGGGGGCCCUUGACCUCCGCAUUCUGAGUGCCGUCUCCUCGACAACCUUAAAGCCUGCAUAAAGUAUCUUGACCAACCGAAGAAGUUCACCAACCCCGAGGUUGAGCUUUGUGAAGAGAUCAAGCGAUCCUCGCUGGCGACCCCAAGCUCUAUCCUGAUUUCAUCGCCUUCGACAACAUCCCCUCCAUCAUCAAUCUUCUCAACCACGACAGCACCGACACCGCCAUUGACCUUGUUGGCCCCUUUAAGGACCUCACUGACGAGUAGGUCCUCGAGAAUAACGACAAGCCCGCAUGCAUCCUCAUCGACACUCAUCGGUGAUAACACACUUGAGCUCCUCAUUUGGAACCUUGGGCAUCUCUCUGAUGGGGCCGCCGCCAUCUACAACAUCCUUGCCACCAUCAAGAACAUGAUCAAGAUCAAGUCCAUGGUCGCCAAGGUCGUGACACGCUUGGUAACCUGAACGAAAGCAAUAGGGUGAUGGAAGUUGUGAUGGGCUUCACACCUCGGAUCCUAAAUGGGUUGGGUCCAUGCCAUGCGUGAAUCAUACAUUCAUGCGUAGAUGGAUGGCUUUAAUUGGACAAGAUAUAGUUUUCCCACUAGCUCAGAGCACCAUCAUGAGGCUAUGCAUCUCAUCCGACCUCAAAUACGGGUAUUACAAAAUAAACAAGGUACAAGUACCAAUAAAAUUGCUUUCAAUAAUGCUCAAAAUAUUUGAUCAUAAAACAGGUCAAUAAGCAAUCGAACUACUUUCUUCGUCCGAGCUGGAUAAAACGGUUCGGGUUCGAAAGUGGGGGGCAUAUAAUAUGGCAUGAAAUCAGGCCACCCAAUGUGAAUGGUCAUGGGGCUUGAAAAGAUUUGAAUUCAAAAAUUAAAUUCUUGGUACAAUCCAAACAAGAAAGACGAUCAUAGCAGAUUUAAAUCCAAAUAAGAAAGGAGGUCAUGGUAAUCCCUUGAUUUUUGUCUCCAAAUCAUGACGGAUCCGUACUUCCUCGCCUAUAUAAACAGAACCAAGGAGACCACAUGGGGACAAGCUCAAAAAGGGAGAAACUCCCAUAGCUCAAAGAUCCCAUGGUGAGAGGUUCUCAAGUCAUCCAUCAUUUUGCUUUUUUUCUUGCAGAUCCAGAGGCUUAUGAGCAACAUAUGCCAUGAUGAAGGUCAAGAUGGAGGUGAAGGCCAAGUCCGAAGUGAAGGCCAAGGCCAAUGAUGAGGUGAGGAGUCUGAAGGCCAAGCUUCAAAGGGCCAAACUCUUGAAGGCCGAGCUCCCAAUGGUCGAGCUCUUGAAGGUUGAGCUCCUAAAGACUGAUGCUACUGUCAAUUCGAGAAGACCAAAAUGAAAAGAUCUGGAUAAAAGUCAACCAAAAUCAGGCCGAUCAAAAGAAAACAAUAACAUUUUACACUACUUUAAUUCUUUAUUAUAUUCUCUCUUUACUGUUGUUCUUUUAAAGUCCGAUCUGACUUAGACAUCAGAGGACCCGAUCGGAGUCAAUCCGAUGAGCUUUUUCCUUCUAUAUUGUAUGUGCAGAUCUACAACCCUCCAAGGAAGAUCAAUCUCCGUCUUCUGCCACAAUGAGUCGAGUGGAUCAAUCAGUGUCCUCCAGACCAUCCUAAUUAGAUUAGUUUUUGACAGCAGCAGCAUUAUCUCAUUACUUCCCCUUUUUGUCAUCAGCAAUAAGAUAGUACACAAGAGCAUCAUGAAGUAAAGAGAAAAGAGUUGUUUCAUUGCAUAAAUAUGUCUUCACAAGUAUGUUCACUCAAAAUAAAUGUACUGUGUACAAAAUAAUAUCAAAUAUAGUACACCAAGAUUCAUCAGUAAGACUAUAGAAGUUAAAGAAAAAUACAUAAGUAAGCAGUAAAUAAGCAACUAGUAGGCAAUCAUAGGCAUUCAUCCUAGUCCUCAUCUGAAAGCAAACCUAUAAUAGUGGAGGAACUGGCCCUAGAUGAAGAUGCUCCAUCCCUCCUGAACCUGGUUCUACUGGAGAGACCAAGUGCCUGAGUGGAGAAUCCUAUGCUAAACCUAGUGUAGGUCCUAAAUGGGGUUCUAGGUAUGGACUGACUAGGGUGAGAUGGCUGGCUGGAAUAGGAAGGUUGGCUAGGCUAGGCAAGUUGGGUCAACUAAUUCAGUUGGCUUUAUUGGGAUAAAGAUUUGGUAAAUGACCCACAUCCCCUACCUCAAGCUCCUACUAUUGCUGCUGUUGGUAUGAGGGUCUCCAACUUCUCGACAAGUCGACUCAGGUGGAUAGGAGGGAGAAGAUGUUAGUCCUCUAAACUACACCCGGAUCUCUAAUCUCAGUCUCUAUCUAGAUCACUUCCAGCUCUAUCCUCUCCCUCAGCCUGGCAGCCUCCCUAGUCAAGUCAAAAAGAUCUCCAUGCUCGCUCUUGGCCUACUGCUCCAAAGUUGUCACUCUAUCAAUUAGUCUAGCUAGGUCCAAUCUUAACCCUCCUAACUCUCUCUGAACCAGGGAGGUAAUCUUUGUCCGGUCUAUUGGAGCUAUUGCCAUCUAGUCUGCUCUCAGAAUAGUCCAAACCAUCUUGGCAAUCCUCCCAACUGAUCAUCAUCAAGUCUGACAGUGGUGGGCUAAGGCUGCUGAGGUGCUCCUGUUGGUGUCAUUGGUGGUGCUGCCAUGGAUGCUAGUGCUAUUAGUGAUGGGGUCAAUGGCUCAACUGCUGAUGGUAGAGAGUUGGGCUUUGAAUCGUGCUACGGUGCACUGAGUCCAGCCUCAGCUCCAUUUUUCUAAUACUCUUUUAAUGCUCCUGUCCUGAGCUCCUUCGCAUCCAACGUCCAUCUAACUUUCGGUUCCCAACUUUCGGUACCCUAUAGGUGCGGGGAUCGAUCGUUAUAGGUAUCUGAGUGCAUAAGGGCUUUGGAGGUCUCGCCCUUCAAGACUACUCCAAACUCUCUGAAUACGAGGGUCAAUGCCAUGCCAUAAGGUAGGCAUACCUUUGCUUGGUUGGCUGCCUCCCUCAUCUGCUGUAGCAUCAGAGCAGGAAGUUUCAGGAAAAUGCCCUGAACCAUAUGGUACAUAACCAUCACAUCUAUCUCUAAGAUGAAAUCAAAUCUUCUUGUCUUCGGGAAGAAGAUCCCAUGAAUGAUAUGAUGGAGGAGCCGCAUCUCAACAGACGAUUGGUUCGCCAAGAUCUCCUCCAAUAUGUCAACUUGCUCUCUCCUCGAGGAUGCAGCGGAGAUCGGCCUCUCUGUCUACAAGCUUGUUAGGUGCUCUCCCUUGCCAACCUUUGCUUGUUGAGAAUGAUUGAGGUGUCCUUGACUGUCAACUCGAUGCUCCCAGCACCUCAACGCAAGUUCCUAUAGAACUCCCGAAUGAGGUUUGGGUACGUCGACACAUCCAAUUUGCACAUAGACUCCCAUCCUUGCUCCUUGAUUUGUUGCCUGAUGGAGAAGUUCUCUUGCUUAUGGCACCCGAAAUCUAUCUUCCUCUCGAUAGUCAUGACUCGAGUGGCCAAUGUAAUAGUAGAAGGGGACGGCUAUGGAGAAGGGGAAGUUCUCUUAGUGCCUUGUGCUGUGGAGGCUUCAUUCUGUGCCUUAGAUCUUUCCAUGUGCUCUAGGGCACGAGUUCACUUCAAUCAGUAUGCUAAUUGCUUCUGUGGACCCGUGGAUGCUCGAAAUCAGAGGGAUUUGGGGAGAAAAUGACUAGUGGAAGGGUCAAUAAGGUCGAGCGAAACACUCGAUGGAAACCUUAGGACAUAUAGUGAAAGGGAUGAAAUGGACAAGAGUGGGAUGGCAUGGGUUUAAGAAGUCCCGAUGUAGGAGUCGACUCAAACUCUAUCUCAUGUUAGAAGAGUUGACCCUUUUUAAUCAAGAGUCGACUCUCAAGGCCAUGAGAUUACUCGAAGGAUCGGAAUCAAAGAAGAUAUUCGAUUAAAUAAUAGUUGGAGUAGGAUCAAGUGGAGAAAAUUGAAGGAAAAAGCUAGGAGAUCAUCUAAUCAAAGUGAUCACACACCUAAGUUUCUCCUAAUCAUGUUAAAUCUUUCCUCAAAGAUUUAGUGAAAAUGUCUGCUAAUUGUCUAUCAAUGCUCAUAAAAUCAAGUAAUACAUCGUUAUUUGAACAUGAUCUCUUAUGAAAUAAUGUUUUAUUUCAAUGUGUUUAGUUUUUAAAUGCUGAAUUAAAUUUUUAGUUGGAUUUAUUUCACUUGUAUUAUCACAUCUUAUGAAAUUUUUUUUAAGUUUAAUAUCAUAAUUCUCGAGUUGUUGCUUAAUCUACAAGAUUUGAGCAACAACUUAUGGCUGCAAUAUAUUCAGCUUCAAUCAUUGAUGAUAAUACUGAAUCUUGUUUCUUGCUAAAUCAAGAGAUUAAGUUGACUCUUAUGAAUUGGUAGGUUCUGUCAGUGCUUUUUCUAUGAAGUUUGCAAUCAGCAAAAUCAGCAUCAGAACAUCCAAUUAAAUUAAUAGAAGAAUAUCUAGAGUAUCAUAAUUCUACAUUAAAAAUAUCAAUUAAGUAUCUAAGGAUUCUUUUAACAGCAAACAAGUGAGAUUCUUUAGGAUUAGCUUAAAAUAUAGCACACAUACGAACACUAAACAUUAUAUUCGGUUUACUAAUAGUGAGAUGAAGUAGAGAUUCAAUGAUAUUGAGAUAUAGCUUGAGAUCGAUACUCUUACUAUUUUCAUCUUUAUCAAAUUUGCAUAAGGGGCUUAUGGGAUGCCAAAAGGCUUGGCAUUCUCCAUUCUAAACUUCUUAUGUAUUUGUUUUAUAUACUUGCUUUGAUUGAUGAAGACUCUCUUUUUGCUUUAUUUGAUUUAGAGCCUGAGGAAGAAAUUUAAUUCUCUCAUCAUGCUCAUCUCAAAUUUCUUCUGCAUUAACUUAGCAAAUUGUUGACAAAGAGUUUCAUUAGUAACAUCGAAUAUAAUGUCAUUCACAUAAAUUUGUACAGCUAAUAAGUCAUUAUUUCUUUUCUUUAAGAAUAAGGUGGUAUUUACGUUUUCUUUAGUGAAUUUCAUUAUCAAGCAAAAAUUUACUCAAUCUUUCAUUACCAUCCAUGUGGUGUUUGUUUUAAAUCAUAUAAUGCUUUAUUCAACUUGUAAGUAUAAUUUGGAAAAGCAUGAUUUUCAAAUCUCAAAGGUUGUUCAACAUACACUUUUUAGCUAUAUAAUCAUUGAAAAAUGCACUUUUAACAUCCAUUUAAUAAAAUUUGAAAUCAAUGAAAUAUGCAAAUGCAAGCAACAACUUAAUGGCUUCUAGUCUAGCUACAGGUGCAAAGAUUUUAUUAAAAUCAAUUUCUUCUUUUUGAUUAUAUUCUUUAGUUAUAAGUCUUGCUUUAUUUGUUACCACUAUUCCAUUUUUAUCUAGUUUAUUUUUAUAUACCUAUUCAAUUUCAAUUAUUAUAUGGUCAAUAGGUUUGUGUACUAAUGUUCAAAUCUUAUUUCUUUCAUAGUGAUUAAGUUCUUUUGACAUAGUAUUUAUCCAAUUUGAAUCAUUUUCAGCUUCUUCAAUAAAUUUUGGUAUACGUUUCUUAGGGAUGAACGAGUUCUUACCUCAUGAAAUGGACCACCUAUGACUAGACCUUUAGGGUGACCAUAAGCAUACCUCUAUUCCUUGGGUAAGUCCUUACCAUGCCUUUGAUUAUUUUCUGAGUUCUCUUCCUCAACUUCAUCAUCCUUAUCAUCUCUAUCUUCAUGUUGUGCCGAAGUCUUCUUUAAGGUAAGGUCUUCUAUUCUGUUAUCUAAAGUUCCUGUAUCGUCAUCAACAAUAUCUUCCUUUCAUAAAGAAAUAUUAUUAGCUUCAUCAAAUACAAUAUGAACGGAUUCUUCAAUAAUCAAUGUUCUUUUGUUGAAGACUAUAUGCCUUGCUAGAUAAAGAGUAUCCAAGAGAGAUGCUUUCAUUUGACUUGGUAUCAAACUUUUCAAUUUUGUUUUUUUUAUUAUUUAACACAAAACAAUGGCAACCAAAACAUGAAAAUAGCUAAUAUUGGAUUUCCUACUUUUUCAAAGCUCAUAAGGGGCUUUCUUCAAAAUCAAUGUGAUCAAAGUACAAUUCAUGAUGUAAUAUGCUGUGUCAAUUGCUUCCAUCUAAAACUAUCUUGGAAGGUCGCUUUCACACAACCUUAUUUCUUUCAUUUAGAGCAUAAAUUGUACAUGUUACUAUCCCGACUAAAUUUAUUUCUAUGCAUGUCUGCAUGGUACAAGGGUGGUUGAGCGUAUGUAUAUAAGUACUUGCAGAGAAGCAAAAGCUUAGUUUAAAAUUUUUAUAUUCUUUUGUGCAUGUGGACUCAGCUUUUACUAGAAGACAUGCCUUUCAGUCAUGAUUGAAUUUUCCUUCCAGUAGCUUGUUUUACGCAUGAUGAAUAUUUCGUCUGAGGCACUUGGCUAAAGAGAAUUCAUAACCAUUUAUCACCAACUUAAAACAGCUGUUUCAUUAAUACUUCUUUUUUUAUUAUUUAGGGGUUUCUUUUAUUGUUGCUUCUUAAAAUUUACAUUACUGUGUUGAUGCUUACAGAGAACAGCAGCUUUAGAACGAUCUCUUAGAGUCGGAAAUGAUUGGAAGAAGCUGAUAAAAAGAGGGGUAAACAUGCUGAAUGAGCCCCACUAUCAGGUCCUACAGAUAUAUAAUAUUCCCACAUCAAUACUAGUUUAGCCUAUAGUCGAUCUAACAUAUGUUCUAUGGUUUUAGUUAUGCUAGGUGGAUUGUGGGGUUGCACAUGGAGAAGAGAUGGAGCAUCUUAACACUAUUGAUAGCAUAUUAAUUAAGUUCUAGAAGGAUGAUGGCAAAGAAGAUGAAUCUGUUAACCCAUCUAAUGUAAUUAUCAUAGAGCAUUAUAUCAAUUAUUAUUUUCUUGGCUCAUGAUUAUGUCAGAUAAUUUCAUCAUUAUUGCAUUGAAACUAUGGCAUACCUAUCUCUUUAUUGUAGUGCCCAUCCAGGAAUGGACAAAAUACAUGCGAUAUCCCUAUCAUAUAUACUGGAAACCUCUCAAUGAAAUUCAAACUGACUAAUUUGCAACACAAUUAACUUUUCAUCUGGCUUUGCAGCUGGAACAGUCUUAAAUAAAUGCCAUUAGCAGCAACUAAUGUUGCAUGUUUUCCCAUCUCAACCACCUUACCCUUGUCCAUUACCACAAUUACAUCAGAACUAACCACUGUAGAAAGCCUAUGAGCAACUGUAAUUUGAGUGAUUCUUUGCCUACCCCAUUUAUUUGAUCCUAAAGAACUCAUGACUUUUCUUUCAGAUUCUCCAUCCAGUGCACUGGUAGGUUCAUCUAGCAGCAGUAUUGCAGGCCUCUUCAGUAGAGUUCGUGCAAUUGCUAUUCGCUGCUUUUGUCCACCAGAAAGCUGGCAACCCUUUUCGCCCACGAUGGUGUCAUAUCCAUUUGGCAAGCUGCUUACGAAUUCAUGAAUAUUUGCCUCAAUUGCAGCCUCAAGUAUUUCAGUUUCUGAAGCAUCCUCAUGCCCAUAGCAGAUAUUGUCUCUAAUUGAGGAACUAAAAAGUAGUGGCUCUUGCUGCACCAACCCUAUUUGCUUUCUUAACCAUCGUAGGUUGUAAUUUCUUAUUUCCUUUUUAUCAACUAGAAUCCUUCCUUUAUCAGGAUCAUAGAACCUCAACAGAAGGGCUAAAACAGAGGACUUUCCUGCACCACUGGGCCCAACAAGGGCCACCUUCUGUCCAGAUUCAAUAAUUAAACUGAAAUUAUCUAGAAUAACAACUUCUGGCCUUGAUGGAUAGUUGAAACUAACCUCUUCAAAUUCUAUUCUGCCUACAAUUCUUUCAAGGCUCAUAUUUUCUGGUGCAUCUGGUACAAUUUCAGUUUUCCUAUCAAGGAUCUGGAAUGCAGGUGUUAGUAUGUUGAUGGCAGAGAUGACUGUGGGUAUCAAAGUCCAUAGCUCAGUGAUUGAAGGGACCGUGAGUGAAAAAAUCUGGUAUGAUCUUAUUCCAUUUUCAAAAGUUGCCUGUCUCUUAUCAACCAACACUGUAGUAUACCACAAGGCAACAGCAUGUGCAAUAUUCCACAAGCAAAGUGAUGCCCCUUGAAUCGUUCCAUACUUGAUACUCUCUAUCCUGCUGAUCCGCAUUGGUUCUCUUAAUGAGAGCUUGGCUUUCUUGAGUAUCUGUUCUUCAUGUACGAAGGAGGCCACAGUUCUGAUGUUGCUUGCUGAUUCUGAUGCAAGGGCAACAAGUUCUCGGUGAGCAACAGCGAAGUCACCCGAGAAUCCUUUGGCUGAUUUGGCUUGAAUAAGACCACCAAUGAAAUGGCAAGGCAUAACAGCCCAAGCUACCAAACCCAUUCGCCAGUUAACAAUCAUACUUACGAUGGUUGCAAUUAGAAUUGAAGAGAUGCAUUGGACGAUAACAGACAUCCGAUCAGAUAUGAUGGUCUUGAUCAUGGAUGUGUCACCAACAAUGUGUGAAGAAAGGAAGCCCACACUAUUCUCAGAUUUUUCAAACCAAGCUAUCUCGUUGCGCAGAACAGCUGCAUAAUUAGCAGGAAAUAUUUUAAACUACACUUGCACAAAGAGUGAACCAACUAUUUCAAUUGCUUAGAAAGGCAUUACAUAUUCUUUAGAAAAAUGAAUGUUACGCAUGCAUGCAUCAUAUGUAAGCUUCUUUUGUGUGGAAUCCUUUUAAAAUUAUGCUAUCAAGGAGUUAAUAUUAAUCAUAACAGUUUGUGAGAUAUGUAUUAUUAUGCUUGACUGGAGCUUAGUUAUAGCGUUUGUAAAGAAUUACUAUUUCUUAUGUCUUUUAUGUGAAUUUGAGCUUGACAAUUUGCAAAUUAAAACCGUAUGAUGCUAGGUUUAACACUGUAUCUGUACCUUUCCUGUGCCUGAGUUUAUAGAUCAAAAUUCUCUAAGAGAUUGGGGAAAAAAUUAAGGAUGUUGUAAAGAUGUUUCUAAGUGAAUGACACAUUAAAUUACACUAAGUUUGAGUUGCUAGAUCUGUAAUGGUCUUUUAAUGAUGCUCUGUCCCAUGGUGAUUUGCAAUUUUAGUCAGUUACUUGCCAAAAGAUGCAUUUGAAAUACUUGUUUGGAUGUGAGGCUUUGAUAAUCAAAUAGCAGGUUCAUGUAGCUUUCUAACAUAAAAUUGCUAUUUUAUUGAAAUAUUCAACAGAGUUUUGUGAUAUGGGUGUACAGUGACUUAACAUAGGCAGCAUGGUAAAGGUGAGACAAGGUACCUGAAAACAGAGUCUCCCUGAGGUUUCUCAUGGCUGUUUCCCCAACCACACCAUAGAAAAAAUGUUGCAAUGUGUGAGUAAUUAAUGUUAGAAGUCCAACAAGACAAAAUAUUCCCGAAUACCACCCUACUCUCCUCCUGGCGUCAUGCUUGUAGUAUGCUACUCCAAUUGUCAUGAUGAAAAAUCCAAACAGUGGCUUAGAAAUACCAGAGACAGCUGCUGCAAAAGAACCUACAACAGUCUUUGCGAGCUCAAGCUUGUUCAAUCCAAACCAGAUUCUGAAGAAGGGAACUGCCUUUCUUUUGAUUUUUUGUAUUUCUUUGUCUGGAGGUUCGCUCAACUGAUCUUGCUGUUCUUUAGAUGCUUCAAGGAUAUCAGGAGCUUGUGAAUAACAACUAUUCUGAAUAGUCUCUGGUGCUUCUUCUGUAUGAUCUAUAUCCCUGGUUUAAACAAUUAAAAGAAAAUCAUAAUGUUACCUUUGUACAUUUGUGUCCAUGCUUUUAUUUAAAUUCAAAUUCUUUUAUUUCUUCAAUUUCCUGAAUCUACUACCUUGUCCCAAGGAAAAUUAUCAAGGCCAGGUCUAGUUUGUUUAUCCAACCAUGUUAAACAUAUUUCUGCAUGCAACUUGUCUUUUAUUGCCUAAAUCUUCUCAGCUUUGAUGACAAAAAGUAAAGUUUACUUUCUCUUGUAAUGGUAGCCCAGACAGGUUUUCUCCUUAUCUAUUUAUGAUACCACCUACCUUGAUCCACUGUCUCCAGUGUCUGUCUUCAGAUUCUGCAUGCCAAAUAAGUUGCAGUAGAACUUGCUGCUUUCUAGCAAUUCUUGGUGAGUUCCAGUCUGUGCCACAGUUCCAUUCUCAACCACAGCUAUGAUAUCGGAGUUGAUGACUGUUGACAUUCUGUGGGCUAUCAAAAUCACAGUUCUUCCUUGCAUAGCUCUCUCAAGGGCAUCUUGAACCAGCUUUUCAGACCCUGAAUCAAGUGCACUUGUGGCCUCAUCAAGCAGAAGAAUUGGAGGAUCUUUGAGAAUAGCUCUUGCGAUAGCUAUUCUCUGUUUCUGCCCACCUGAUAAUUGUACUCCUCUCUCACCUGCCUGAACUCAUUAAGUCAAACAUUGGUUGCCUAGAAAAAUAAAUAAGAUGAAUAGCAAGGAAACCUAGUUGUGUGCGUGCUGAUAAAUGGUUCUUUGCUAUAUAAAAGAUUAGGUGAUUCAACUAGGAGGAUAAUGGGAUUUUUAUGGAGGAUUAGUGCAGGAUGCAAAUUUUCUUUGUGAGGGACCUACUAUUGAUAUUUGCUUCCUCUCCAACUUCGUUACAUAAUAAAUAGGGCAUGGCACAGGCUAUCCAUUGGUUAUUCAUGUUUAACUGUCUUAUCUCCUUCAUUCUAUGAACAGUUUCAGAGGACUUCAACUUUCUGAGUUUCUUUAAGGACAAUAAUCACUGCUAAGUAAAAUGAUCUAGUUUGUUGGAUCAAAUUGCUGGCAAUGAGACCUACUUCUCUCCAUUAUUGAUCCAGUGCUCUCAACCCAAGAAUCCCAAGGCUCCCUCCUUAGUCCUUAGUGGAGCUUUCUGUGGCUCAUACUGCAUAAAAUUAGACCAUCUCAAACUAUUUUCCUCAAGAGUUACUCUAGAGGAAUCACCACACUAUAGUAAAAUGCAUACUAUCAACCAUAUGUCGCCAUGCUUAACUUUGUAGAUCAAUCCACUUUGUAAAUUUUAAUUGUCAAAAUUUGUUAUCCUGACUUUCACUAGUAAUUUAAUAUUGACGUUACAGGAUAUGUGGAAGUAACGGUCAAGUGUCAAUUAGUUUUCUUCAUUUCAAAUCCUAAUAUUGCUCAGAAGAAAUUAGCUUUAUUUAUGGCAAUGUUUAGAAUCUUACCUCGGUGGAGUAUUUGUCUGGAAGUUGGGAUAUGAAUAAGUGUGCAUUUGCUGUUGAUGUGGCUCUCUCUAUCUGUUCAUCACUUGCAUCCAUGUUCCCAAUUUUCAGAUUAUCUUUGAUGGUGCCCGAAAAGAGUGAUGGCUCUUGUGGAACUGCUGCUAUGUUCCUCCUAAGGAAUUUCAGAUCCAAAUCCUUGAUGUUGUGACCAUCUAUGAAAAUCUCACCUGCAACCUUAGCUGACUGUUUUAGCUCUUGCAGAAAACAUACAAUCCCCAUAGUAUAAAUCAAAAUUGUCCUCUUAAAAUAAGUGCAUGCAUUUUUCUUUUUUAUUCACGAGUUUAUACUUUUUGUGCCUAAAUCAUUUACACAUAUACACAGUUUUAUUUAUCUUUUUUACUUGUUGCAUAUUCAAUCAAGGGUACACUUAUAUUCCUUUUAUAAAGGACAUGGAUUUCUUUGUGAGCAUAAAGAACACAUCUCAUUCCUUAACUUGGGAAUGAGGCCUCUGUCCUUGGAAACUAUGCUUGGCUUUUCUCUGAUGUACUAAUGUUUAAAGAUUAUGUAGGCAGCAGCAAACCUGUGGUUGGAUCAUAGAACCGCUGAAUUAAGGAAAUCACAGUGCUUUUCCCACAUCCACUGUUACCCACUAAAGCAACCACUCUGCCUGCUGGUAUGGACAGUGAAAAACCUUGAAGGAUAAGAUUAUCCUCACGGGACGG
rnacentral:lncRNA from 1 species